rnacentral:rRNA from 1 species
GGCGGCGUGCUUAACACAUGCAAGUCGAACGGCCUCAUAUUGAAACCUAGUGAUGUAUGAGUUAGUGGCGGACGGGUGAGUAACGCGUGGAGAACCUGCCGUAUACUGGAGGGAUAACACUUAGAAAUAGGUGCUAAUACCGCAUAAGCGCACAACUUCGCAUGAAGCAGUGUGAAAAACUCUGGUGGUAUACGAUGGAUCCGCGUCUGAUUAGCUAGUUGGCGGGGUAAAGGCCCACCAAGGCGACGAUCAGUAGCCGGCCUGAGAGGGUGAACGGCCACAUUGGGACUGAGACACGGCCCAAACUCCUACGGGAGGCAGCAGUGGGGAAUAUUGCACAAUGGGGGAAACCCUGAUGCACCGACGCCGCGUGAGUGAAGAAGUAUUUCGGUACGUAAAGCUCUAUCAGCAGGGAAGAAAAUGACGGUACCUGACUAAAAAGCCCCGGCUAACUACGUGCCAGCAGCCGCGGUAAUACGUAGGGGGCAAGCGUUAUCCGGAUUUACUGGGUGUAAAGGGAGCGUAAACGGCAGCCGCAAGUUGGUUGUGAAAUCCCUCGGCUCAACUGAGGAACUGCAACCAAAACUGGAUAUCUUGAGUGUCGGAGAGGAAAGUGGAAUUCCUAGUGUAGCGGUGAAAUGCGUAGAUAUUAGGAGGAACACCAGUGGCGAAGGCGACUUUCUGGACGAUAACUGACGUUGAGGCACGAAAGUGUGGGGAGCAAACAGGAUUAGAUACCCUGGUAGUCCACACUGUAAACGAUGGAUACUAGGUGUAGGGUGUAUUAAACAUUCUGUGCCGCCGCAAACGCAUUAAGUAUCCCACCUGGGGAGUACGACCGCAAGGUUGAAACUCAAAGGAAUUGACGGGGGCCCGCACAAGCAGUGGAGUAUGUGGUUUAAUUCGAAGCAACGCGAAGAACCUUACCAGGGCUUGACAUAUACAGGAAUAAGUAAGAGAUUACUUAGCUCUUCGGAGUCUGUAUACAGGUGGUGCAUGGUUGUCGUCAGCUCGUGUCGUGAGAUGUUGGGUUAAGUCCCGCAACGAGCGCAACCCCUGUCCUUAGUUGCCAGCACGUAAAGGUGGGAACUCUAAGGAGACUGCCGGUGAUAAAUCGGAGGAAGGUGGGGAUGACGUCAAAUCAUCAUGCCCUUUAUGUCCUGGGCUACACACGUACUACAAUGGUCGUGACAGAGAGAAACGAAGUAGUGAUGCAGAGUAAAACUCAAAAAACGGUCUCAGUUCGGAUUGAAGGCUGAAAUUCGCCUUCAUGAAGCUGGAAUUGCUAGUAAUGGCAGGUCAGCAUACUGCCGUGAAUACGUUCCCGGGCCUUG